rnacentral:lncRNA from 1 species
UGUGUGUAUCGGUGUAGCAGGAGGACCGUCAGGAGAAGAUGGGUGGUCUACAGCAUGCAUGGCGCGGCGGUCGCUCGCCCGUGUGCAUCAGGUCGCAUCACUCCCAUCUAGGAUAUCCAUGGGCAGAAGUGGCACGAUGGUCUCCGCCACUUGUGUGUUUCCUUGUACGCGUGCAUUAUGUUAAACUGUAUAUAUACGUAGA